rnacentral:rRNA from 1 species
UCAAGCUAGAAAGAGCGCAAGGGGAAUGCCUUGGCAUCAGGAGCCGAUGAAGGACGCGACAAGCUGCGAUAAGCUUCGGGUAGCUGCAAAUAAGCGAUGAUCCGGAGAUUUCCGAAUGGGGCAACCCGGCACGGCAAUACCGUGUCAGCGUGCACUGAAUAAAAUAGGUGCACGUGGGGAACCGCCUGAACUGAAACAUCUAAGUAGGGCGAGGAAAAGACAUCAACCGAGAUUCCGCAAGUAGUGGCGAGCGAACGCGGAGAAGGCCAAACCAGAGGUCAUUGAUCUCUGGGGUAUGGACUUGCAUCACGAUCAGAGGUAUCUAGUCGAAUGGCGUGGGAAAGCCAACCACAGAGGGUGAGAGUCCCGUAGACGAAAGAGAAGACUGACAGCGAGUAUCCAGAGUACCGCCGGACACGUGAAACCCGGUGGGAACAUGGGAGGACCACCUUCCAAGCCUAAAUACUACCUGAUGACCGAUAGUGGAGCAGUACCGUGAGGGAAAGGUGAAAAGAACCCCGGGAGGGGAGUGAAAUAGUACCUGAAACCUUGUGCUUACAAGCAGUCAGAGCACGUUAAAGUGUGAUGGCGUACCUUUUGUAGAAUGGUCCGGCGAGUUAUAGUCACUGGCGAGGUUAAGCAAUUCAGUUGUGGAGCCGAAGGGAAACCGAGUCUUAAUAGGGCGUCGAGUCAGUGGCCAUAGACCUGAAACCGGGUGACCUAUCCAUGAGCAGGUUGAAGUUGGUGUAAAAGCCAAUGGAGGACCGAACCCACGUUCGUUGCAAUGACCGGGGAUGACUUGUGGAUAGCGGAGAAAUUCCAAUCGAACUCGGAGAUAGCUGGUUCUCCCCGAAAUAGCUUUAGGGCUAGCGUUAUUUUAGAUUACCGGAGGUAAAGCACUGAAUGGUCUAGGGGCCGCGAGGUUACCAAAGCCUAUCAAACUCUGAAUGCCGGAUAAUUGAUGAAUAGCAGUCAGACUGUGUGAGAUAAGUCUCAUAGUCAAAAGGGAAACAGCCCAGAUCUACAGCUAAGGUCCCAAAUGAACACUAAGUGGAAAAUGAUGUGAAACUGCGAAGACAACCAGGAUGUUGGCUUAGAAGCAGCCACUCAUUCAAAGAGUGCGUAAUAGCUCACUGGUCGAGUGGUUUUGCGCAGAAAAUGUAACGGGGCUAAGUGUUCAACCGAAGCUUAGGCAUUGCAGUAAUGCAUUGGGUAGGGGAGCGUCGUAUGCGGGGCGAAGUCAGAGCGGAAGCACUGGUGGACUGCAUACGAGUGAGAAUGCCGGAAUAAGUAGCGAGAAUUAUGUGAGAAUCAUAAUGGCCGAAAAUCUAAGGUUUCUUGGGGAAGGUUCGUCCGCCCAAGGUUAGUCGGGAGCUAAGCUCAGGCCGAAAGGCGUAGGCGAUGCACAUACGGUAGAAAUUCCGUAACCACCGAACAUUUAAGCUAGAGGGACGCUUUCUUUAAGGUUAUCCCGGGCGAUGGUUGCCCCGGGCGUAAGGGACCGAAAUAUAGUAGGGAAGUAACUGGCGAGAGAGACGAGAAAAGCUCUAGUGUAUACUAAGGUGCCCGUACCGCAAACCGACACAGGUAGAUGGGAUGAGUAUUCUAAGGCCAACGGGAGAAGGGUUGUUAAGGAACUCGGCAAAUUGGCCCCGUAACUUCGGGAUAAGGGGCGCCUGCGAGAGCAGGCCGCAGUGAAAAGGCCCAAGCGACUGUUUAGCAAAAACACAGCUCUCUGCUAAAUCGAAAGAUGACGUAUAGGGGGUGACGCCUGCCCGGUGCUGGAAGGUUAAGGGGAGUGCUUAGCGCAAGCGAAGGUGCGAACUUAAGCCCCAGUAAACGGCGGCCGUAACUAUAACGGUCCUAAGGUAGCGAAAUUCCUUGUCAGGUAAGUUCUGACCCGC